GAUGAAUGCUGGCGGCGUGCCUAAUACAUGCAAGUCGAACGGUAAGGCUUUCACAGAUUAUUUGAACGGAAAAGUCCAUUUUAAUGGAUACUAGCCUUCAACUCUCGUUUCCCGGCUGGGAAGCAAUAGAGGUCGAAUAAUGCGUGAAAGUACACGAGUGGCGGACGGCUGAGUAACACGUAGGAACGUACCCCAAAGUGAGGAAUAAGCACCGGAAACGGUGUCUAAUACCGCAUGUGAUCUAAGGAUUAAAGUCUUCGGACGCUUUGGGAGCGGCCUGCGCAUGAUUAGUUUGUUGGUGAGGUAAUGGCUCACCAAGACUACGAUCAUUAGCUGGUCUGAGAGGAUGAUCAGCCAGACUGGAACUGAGACACGGUCCAGAUUCCUACGGGAGGCAGCAGUAGGGAAUUUUCCACAAUGGACGAAAGUCUGAUGGAGCAACGCCGCGUGCAGGAUGAAGGCUUUCGG
rnacentral:rRNA from 1 species